AUGAAGGAGUUAGGGCUACGCGAGGAGGAUCUGGAUGACGUCGUUUUUGACGAGAAAGAGGCGCCCCAAGAGGCCGCUCGAUGGUUAGCUCUGGCGCGGGUUCAUACAGAUAAAACCUAUAGCCAGACCUGGUUCUACAGAAACAUGCGUUCUACGUGGGAUCUGGCGCAAGAAGCAAAGUUCAAGCCUCUAGAGGAUAAUAUCUAUACCAUUCAGUUUUCAUGCUUGGGGGAUUGGGAA
rnacentral:rRNA from 1 species